UGGAGGUCGUCAGUUAGUUAAAGAGGGGAUAAGUGGACUGGUGAAGUGGAGAGUGUCAGAGGGAGGGAGGGAGAGGAGGUUAUGUGGACUGGUGAAGUGGAGAGUGUCAGAGGGAGGGAGGGAGAGGAGGUUAUGUGGACUGGUGAAGUGGAGAGUGUUAGAGGGAGGGAGGGAGAGGAGGUUAUGUGGACUGGUGAAGUGGAGAGUGUUAGAGGGAGGGAAGGAGAGGAGGUUAUGUGGACUGGUGAAGUGGAGAGUGUUAGAGGGAGGGAGGAGAGACAGAUUAUUUUUUUUUUUACAUCAAGGGAGGCAGCUCAAGGGCACAAACAAACAAAGUAAAGCAGAAAACCUCCCCAGGCACAGCACCAUUAAAAGAAAAGAGUAAGUCUGUGUGCUUGUCUGCGUAGGUGAAGAGGAGGGAGGACAUGGAGGCAGUGUGUUGAGGAGGGUUUGGCAGCACUGGGAAGGCUUAGGCAAAGGAGAGGGAGGACAUGGAGGCAGUGUGUUGAGGAGGGUUUGGCAGCACUGGGGAGGCUUAGGCAAAGGAGAGGGAGGACAUGGAGGCAGUGUGUUGAGGAGGGUUUGGCAGCACUGGGGAGGCUUAGGUAAAGGUGAGGGAGGACAUGGAGGCAGUGUGUUGAGGAGGGUUUGGCAGCACUGGGGAGGCUUAGGCAAAGGUGAGGGAGGACAUGGAGGCAGUGUGUUGAGGAGGCUUUGGCAGCACUGGGAAGGCUUAGGCAAAGGUGAGGGAGGACAUGGAGGCAGUGUGUUGAGGAGGCUUUGGCAGCACUGGGGAGGCUUAGGCAAAGGAGAGGGAGGACAUGGA